GUAUUAAACUAAAUUACACAAGUUUAUCUGGUAUAUUUUAGUCACGUAGAAGGAAAGCUUUAAAAAUAUCCAAUAUGCCUUUUAAUAAAGAUAUAAGGAAUAUGAACAUAAACGUAAAUACAUAAAAUGUGAACUCCGUGGAAUAGCAUUGAAGACAUAGAGUUGGGUUGUUUAUUAUUGCCAGUUUUAUUGUCAUCAUUUUACAAGUUAGCAAAGGUCUAAAAAGUUUUCAUGCUGCACAAAAUUAUUUUGGUUUGCUUUCAGUGGAACUCAUUGUACAUCCCAUCUGAAUGGUAGACUUCUGUUUGCUGGUUAGGUCCUACCUCUGUUAAACAGUCUUCAGAAGAUCUCAUUUUCGGGUGAUGUUUAUCUCCUCCUAGAGGUGCUCUGUGUUUCCUACAGAAACAGGUAAGUAGUUUAGUUUCAGUGGCUGAAGUCGGAUGAGGAAGAUCUCGCCAUUUAUGGCUUUCUGUGGCGUAUUCUCCAUUGCUGUUCCUUGUACUAUCAGUAAGGAUGGUAACAGUUAGGUCCCAGGGAAACAGAUACCUGUUGAGGAGUGCAUAUGUGAAUGCAGGGCAUAACCCUUCAGUGGAAUUCAGCUCAUCAUUGUUCGGCAAAUCUAUCUUGUGUCUGUGCAUAUGUGCUUGACAAGGGUACCCUGCUUAUCAGUGUUCUUUCUUUGCGGGCGUAUUCCCUAUGCAAAUUACAGCUAUAAGCUUCCUGCAUAUAAAAAUCAAGCUGGAUAUUUUUAGCUUUGAAGUUCUUGCAUCGAAUGCAGGGCUGUUCCCAUAUCAAAGCAUGUGUGGGAAACUGAGAUGUCUGAUUAAUGGAUAGCUAGUUUAUUGAACUGAGUCUUAACCCCUUAAUAAGAAGAGAGAUUUGCAGCUGAGUUUCUUCUGAAUUAUAAUGGAUGCCUAGCACAUUUGUCUACUGUUAGUCAGAUUUGGGAGUUAGCAAAUGUAGUCCAGUUUGAUGAGAAGAAUGUGCUUUAAACAAAUUAACUGUAGAGACGGGAUUUUCAUACAGGAGUAGCAUACGGUUUUGUACUACUGUAAUUCCAGAGAAAAAGUGAAGCCUGUCAGUCAUGUUUCGGCCUUUUUCCUUAGAAGAAAAGAGCAUUUCUUUUUCAUCUAUUUCAUUUUCAUCUAUUUCUUUUUAAGAAAUAGAAUUUGAAGUAUGAAGCAAAACCCACUCCCUUACCCUAUUCCUGAAACCCAAAACAUUUACUGUGCUUCACAGUUCAAGUGGGUUUCCUUUGUCUAUGAAGGAAUAAAGAGGACAAAAAGCAGUAUUUCCUAUCAAAAGGCUUCUUCAUGUACUUCCUUUGUCAGCAGUGGAUCAAAGGUAACCUUAGAUAUAGGCACGUAGUCUCUGCCUCAGCAAGGUAUUUCUAGUCAGUGAAUCAUUAGAGCAUGUAUUGAAAUUCAAGCGCAUGGUUGAAUUUCCAGGGUUUUCAUUAGAAUUCAGGGCAUACUUGUGGACAUGUGUUUUCAAAUGUUUUGCUCAGUGGAGGUAAGCAUUCGUACAUAUGUUUGUACAUUUAUGUCCUGGGACCUUUGAUCCCAUAAAGUGAAUGAAAGCUGCACGUUCACAUGUUACCGGUCUGUGACCCAGUAAGUUUUUGUGUGUUGUAAACAAGCAUCUGCAGAGCUUAUAUUCAUUUCCAGAUAAUCUCAGACACAGGAAAGAAAAGACUUAAGUUAUUGUUCACGUCUCAAUCAGAGCAUCUCCAGCGUUAACCUCGUAUUACACAAUCGGGGAGGACUUGGUUAUACACAAGAUAGAACAUAUAUAUUUUACCACAAUACGUAACCACAUUGGAACAAAAUGCUGUGUCUUUCUCUGUUCUUUUCUUCUUUUAAUUAGGUAAAAGCAAUCAAUUAGUCAUGGGCCCAAUGCAGCACUCUUAAUAAUGCCAUGACUUAAUAUUGCAUAAUUUCUUGCCAGCGUCAGAGAAAGGGGCAGUGAAGGAUCUGUGCAAUGCAUAGCUGGGUCCUGCUGGUGGUCAUGUGGCAGGGAAAGGGAAUAACGUAUAUUAAAAAAGGACUGUGCUGUCAUUACACAACUUGAAAGAUAUGCAUUUAAAAUAAAUAACAGGAGUGAUGAAUAAACAGCAAUGUGCUCCUGAGAAAGAAGGGUAAUUUUGUGCUAGGAGGUGGUGUGCCCGGGAAUUUCUUAAAGGGCUGUUGCUUAAAAUGCAGUGGCUGGAAGGGACUGAAAUAGAGAAAUAAAAAGCCAGGAUUGUAAUUUCCUAAGUCUCCUGCACGUUAUCACAAGUGCAGCUGUCUGCUUUUUCCACUUGCAUGAGAACUGAUAGAGCAGCCUUUGUCACAGUUUACCUGUGUUAUGGACUUGGUCUAGAUUAACAACCUAAGGGGAAUGCUGAUCUUCACUGUUGAGUCACAAAAUAAAAAGUAAUGACUUUUAGCCGUUCCCUUAGUCUGCACAAAGAUCUGCAGGAGUCUGACAGAGCAGCUGCUACACAGCGUGCACGUACGGAGUAAGGGCAGACACUGUAGGAAGAGUGCAGAGUGGAAGAGGUUCUUUUUCAUGUUGAGGAGGGAGACUGGAAAACAAAAUUGCUUGCUAUAGUUAUUUGCAGGCUUUUAUUACAAACAAUGCCUUGGGGGCAGGGAAGUAAGAAGUCUUGCCAAGAGAUUAUUUUGAGCAUAUAAAAUGAUCUGUGAAGUUUAUGACUAGGAAUCCUUGACACGCCCCAGCCAAAACAGCCAUGCAUGCUGCUACUUAAUGGAACUGCAAGCUGCGUAAUGUGCAUAUAUGAGAUGGAAAGUGCUUAGAAAUUACGGGCAUGUUUCUUCCAGUUUCUGAUCACGUCUGGCCUUUUUCUUUAUCCCAGAGGUCAUAACAGCAGUGUUGAGUCCCGCAAAGCCUUACUCAUACAUCAUUAGCCCUUGCUCACAUGAAUAAGGCAUAAAUAAAAUUCUUCAGGGUCAGGUUCUUAUGCUGCUCUGUUUAGAAGUGCAGCCUGCUGUGACUCAUGUCUCCUAAAUUCAAAUCACAUAUAACAUAAUGCAUAUAGCAAUUAAAAGUUGUCUGCCAAAUGGUUUCACAUAAUUGCUAUUGGGAAUGGGAGGAAAUUUCAGAAAGUUGCAUUUGCACUGUGUUUGAUAUUGCAGUGUUGCCUAAUUGUACAGCAUGUGGAGUAGAUCAAACUGUUCUGGACAGAGUCAUUCAGGAGAUAAACAAGUGUGAUGUGUAACACAUACCUUCCUCUCUCCCCUGAAAAAACAAAACUCAACUUUCCCACUUUCCAGCCACGUCUACAUUCACUUAAACACAGCUACUUAGAAUAUCUGAAAUAGGACCAUCUGGCAAAUCCCAGUAACAUUAGAGAAACCAUUUAAUCUCUACCGAGGAAAAAUUUGUAUGGCCCUUUUGAAGCCUAAAAACUUAGUCAAAAAAAAAAAAAGAAGCUAAAGCACUCUACAACAGCUCUUCCUAGGAGUACUUUCACUCAAUAUCAAGAAAGUCCCCUAGGAAAUGAUGGUGGGACAUUGGGAACUUAAAUUCACAGCCUAGCGUAUUGUUUUAUAGCCUGCCCUUGUUAACAAGCACCUCAAUCUAAUGAACACAGCAGUAGCAGUAAUUGCUAGGACCUGCAAAUGAAGACAUCCAAAUUAUUUUAUCCUUGUUUUGAAUGAAGUGGAGUUAGUAGGAGUAGAAUUUUUUGCCUGAUUUCCUAAGGAAAUGAGGCAUAUGUGAUCACACUGCAUGUCCAGCUAUGUCUGUGUAGCAGACCACACUCCAUCACCCUCCUUACCUACUAACUUUAAAUCUGUUUUCAAACAGUAAAACAAAAAAUUGACAGAGGAGCAGAAAUCUUAAAUAAUGGAAGUCCUUACAAGUCACAUCAAAAUUGGCAGCUGAGUAAAUAAAGGCAACCCAAAUUACACAGGUAAAGGUGUUGGUCGGGUUAUUUUAUGAACCACUCAGCUGCUAUAUGGCCAAUCAGCUGCUCCAUCCUUGCUUUUAUUUAACCAGCCCCAGUGUUUGCUUCCUUACACCUAGACAAUAUGUAAGUGAGGUAAGCAGGGAAGGGAGGAUGUAGAGUGGAUAGUCGAGGCUGUCGAUAUGAGAAGGAGCUGGGGUUGUUGACUGGCACCUCAGAGCUUAGAGAGCUAGGCAAGGGUGGAUGGGGAGAUACGCAAGAUGGCAGUUAACCAUGCUCAAGUCUAGCAGACUAUCCCAAGGGCAUAAUUGCCCAACCUGUUUUUGUAACCCUUUUGAUCAGUAAGAUGCUCUAGCCUCCCCAUGCAGUUGCUUACACUUCUCUAUAUGUAGGGGCCCUUCCAUAACACAGUUUUAUUGCAAACUGAAUUGCUUUCUUCUUGUCCUUCCUUCAGUGGACAUAGAGAUUGGUUACUGUCCCCUUACAAGCAAUCUUUCAUACAUGAAAGCCUGCUAUCAUGUCUCCCUUCAGUUUGCUAGACUAAACAAAUCCAAUUUCUUCAUAGGUCAUAUUUUCUGAACCUUUUCUUCUUCUUCUCUUUGGACUUUAUCCAGCUUUUCUUUAGCAUUUUGAAAAGCACAGUAACCAGAACUAUAUGGAGUGUUCCAGCUGAAGCCUUAGAGAAAUAAUUACUCUCUUUAAUAUAAAAUAGUCCUGGUGGCGUACGCUGGCAUGGUGGUCUGUUUUUUCUUUCUUUUAAUUUUAGUUUUGCAACAGUGUCAUAUGAUUAAUCUGUGUUUUAUCUACGGUUUAACAUAGACCUCAAGUCCUGUCAAUGUUUUUGUUGUCUUGCCAGUUAUUGUCGCUUUGUAUUUGAUUUCUUGUUCCCGAGUACAGAAUUUGGCCUUCAUUGUGAUGAAUUUCACCUUAGUUAUUUUGCAUACAAGACUGUUUGUAGGGUAGAGCUCUUUGUAUCUGAGCAUGGUUUUAGCCAACUUUACCAAAGUACAUGAAGGCUGAGAAUCUGAUACACCUGUGCAGAGCAAGCCAGGAAAGUUUAUAAUCUUUUUGGAAAUUAUUAUAUCAGUAUUACCACAUUUACAACAAAAGUAUCCAAGAAUGUUCUUUAAAUACUUGUAAAGAGUUAUACUAUUCAGUUGCAGGGAUGAAAAUUAGAGGUAUGUAGUUUUGGCAGUAACUGUUUCAAAACCAGCCAGUGCAAGUUUUGUGUUCCCACCAAACAGCCUUUGCCAAAUCAGCCAAAUCUAAGUAAUUUGCUUCCUAAGAGUAAGCCUGAUUUUCUGCAGUGGUGCAGGUGUCCAAACUUGAAGGCUGUUCAGAUAAUGUUGACCAAAGGAACCUAUCUGAAAAUAUCAAGCCGAGGCAGAAACUGGAAUGUAAUUUGAGUGUCUGUAUCUGCAAGUGCAUACUAUCCUGUCUUGGGAAAGUAAAAUAUACAGCCUUGCAGCUACGCUUAUGAACUCAGGCACAGUGCUAAUGGGCACUGUCUCUAUACCACAGCUGGAGCAUGUCUACCUGGCUCAGUGUAUCAGUGGAGUUAGCACAAGACUAUCUGCAUUGUCCAUUUAGGCAGAUGUUGCAUCUUUUUUUCUUUUUUUUUUUUUUCUUUUCAGUCUUGUCCCCCAGUUUUGUCUAGGUGAAACAUUGUAGUGACUCACACUUGCAGCCCAGCAUUUUUUACAAGCAAUAAAUGUCAUGAUUUGGGGAUACCAACUACAAUUUUCUCUUAGGGGCUUUUCCCUGCCUUCAUCUUCCCUGUGCAGAAAGAUGCUAAACAUACUUUAGAGCUGACUUAUUGAUGCAGAGAUACUCCUAUAGAUUACCCAUUUUUGCAUGCAUGUGUGCACAUCUGGCAUUCUUGCUCACGUUCUUAGGCAGGAAAGAUUUAAAAACACAACACUCUUGACCCAAUGUGCCUAUCUGUUUUGGACAUUUUUAAUUCUAACUUUCUGCUUUUCUCUCUCAUCACUGACUUUACUUAUUGAGAAACAGCUGUAUGCACUGUUUGAAUUCCAAUAUACGUAUUUGCCUCUUGUGGCCUAUGAACAUACCCCAUGAGCUAAGAAUGCUAACAAACCGAAUGCUAGCUUUGUGGCUCUGAACAACUUUUUUUUUUUUUUUUUCCUUUUUUUUUCCAUGCUAUAGAGAUAAUACUAUUUACCAUACAGCUGCAACAAAACAGGACUGCUAGAACAUAUUUCAGAUGUGAACAAUAGUCAGAAACCAGGACUAAAGUACAGCCUCCAAUUCACAUAUAUAUUGCAUUUUUAAAAGUAUAUAACCCCAGGGAGAGAUAAAAAGAGAUUUUCUGCUUUUAGUUAAAAAUAGACAAAAAAAAAAAAAUUAAAAAGAUUAAAAUCAGGAAGACAUUUAGUUUAUGGGGUUAAUGAAUCAGCUUGUAGCUUUUCAGUUCUUCAUAUACUAGAAACAACCCCUGUACAGCUGAAUAAAUUAAUCUGUGUUGCUUUGUAUUUGACAAGGUGUUUAUUCUGAGCCAGCAAUACUCCAUGCAAAAUAACCAGUCUAGGAACAAGUAGGAAGUCAUGUUUAAUCAAAGCUUUUGGAAGACAGAAACUAAAAAGGCAAUGGAAUGUGUGAUUGACAUGAAAAAGUAGGCAUUUGCCUUCAUGCUUUCCUUUUUUCUCUGUUGGAAGAUGUUAUUUGAGGUCAGGUAGCCCAUGUAGGUUGGGGGGAAAAAAAAACCACAGAAAUCCAACCCCAUUGCCUAUGAUAUAUUAAGGAAAGGCAUGUUUGUGGAGAAAUUCUCUAAUUCUCUGAGCAGUUGGGUCUCUGGAUUUUGGAAGCAACUAACUAAAUGUCUGAACUUAAACUGGAGAUGGGGAUUUCCACAUGUCUCUUUGCACCCAAACACAUAUGGCCAUGAGGUUGUGAAAGAGGAUUCACUUUAAUAAGUUAGAACAGUUAGAAUGUGAUAUUAGUGAGAUGUUGCUGUGUCAGUCCUGACCACAAUUUUGAGUCCUGACCCUGAAGAGCUAGCUGCCAUUGACUACAUCACUAUCUGCAUGUUUUGCAUACAUACUGUAUUGUCAAUCAAAACAGUCUUUCUCUUCCUUAAUGACAUCCUUAUUAAGGGGAAUGGAUUGCUAGCCACAUCUUAUUCUGACGGGAAAGAAACAUCAGAAGUUUUCUUCAUGCAAAAAAGACACUCUGUGUCCUGAACUUCUUCAUAUAUAAACAAGAUAUUGAGUGUAUUAAUAGGUUAGAGGGGACCAUAUAACCAAAUGCCUACAACUGAAAUGCAGAAAGUAUGUAUAUAAAGGUUAUGGGGUUUUUAAUUGGCAUGCCACUUGCAACCACAAAAAGGAAAUUCUGACAGUAUUUAUAAUGCAUGCAUUGAUACAUUUAUGGGGGGAAUGCUAACUCAUUUAUGGUAAUUCGUCUGCUUUUAGAGCCUGUUGACUUAUUACUUUCUCCCUGUAAAUGAUGUUUUAAGAAAAUUAGCUUGCAGAUUUUUCAUCAUGCAAGGAUGUUAGCGACACCAAGAGUAUUUUCAUUUAUUUCCUUUUCAUAGUGAAACCAUCUUUAUAAUUGCAAAACUCCUCUUUAAUUACCAUUGUUAUUUCUACAGUGGGAAGCUUACCCUGUUUUGGAAUGUCAGUUUUGUACUUAAUUCUUUGCCUUCCCAGCUUGUGUAAUUCUGCAUAGGCAAUUAUUAAAACAUAAACUUCUCUAUCAUCAAAAAGACCACAGAGGUUGCUACAUGAAGAAUAACCAUAGAGUCACGUAGGAAGCAAAAUAUUGAACUUGAGUAGUCCAGAAGAAGAGAAGGGAACAUCCAUGGGAUCGUUUGGUGGCAGUGCAAGGGAUGGAGAGUCUAUACUGAGCCUCGCCAUUCACAUGCCUGGCCUUCUGUGGGGCGAGUCAGAUCAGCUACCCAUACCUCGGACUGCCUGUCUCUUCAGUGAGGGCCACAGCACAAACCUGGGGACUGUUAUGAAGUACAGACAGCAAAUCAAGUAAAAGAUGCUGUUAUGAAUUCAAGGAGGUCGAUAAAAUUGUACCUCUGUACAAUUAAUACAAAUAAUAGAUCUAUUUCACAGAUCCCACCAAGCUUCUUUCACUCAUUUGAGUCAAAAGCUGGCAGAAAAAGAGUGUAACUGGUUGUAUAAGAUCUUUACAAAAAUCCAGUAGGAGAAAACUGCUGUUGGCGCUGGAAGGGAUGAGGAGGCCUCUGUUGAACUGCAUUAGCAAAGUUUAAAACUUAUGCAGGUGGCUAAAUGAGACAGGGCUAAGGUCUGAAGGCUCAGUGAGGUUCCUGGAAGGUGAGAGAAUUGAAGAGGCCUCUCUGAGAGUAGGGCUAGUUAGGAGAAGGUUUUGUUUUAAAAACAAAACAAACAAACAAAACCUCAUGCAUGAACUUUUUGUGCUUGGAAAUGCUUUAUAGCUCAUGCAAAAAUCUUUGCAAAGGGAAAUGCUUUAGGUUAAGGAUUUGACAUUAACAAUGGGCCUGUUGCUUUUUAAAGUUUAUCAUAUUUUUAAAGCAGAAUUAACUGUAAUCAUAGGUCCAGAAUUUCACUGGGCCUUUAGCAGGCUUCUGUUUCUAUAUUCUCUGCCCAGUGUCUGGCUGGGGCCCUUUGAAACUGUAUAGCUUAGCUUACUGGCAGGUUACUAACUGUGCUGCUUGUGAGGGUGUACUUUUAGGUGUGUAGAGAGUUACCAGUGAGGGCAGGAACAGCAAGUAGUUAGGAGCAGCCUGGACUCUGAUCCUGAAUGGCAGAGUUGCUCUGACUUGUGCUCUUUGUUAUUGUCUCCUCUUUUCUGAGUGUUUGUAUAGGAAGUGAUGCUAAGAAAAUCUCAGGGAUUUUUUUUUUUUUUCCUCCAUGAUUUCAGUAAGCAAAGCAUUUGCUCCUCAGAGCUUAUUUUUUGGCUGGAGAUGGAACUCGUUGUUGAACCUCUAGCAAAGAGCAUGGCUGGAUGCAUGAUAUAUGAUGGAAAAUGUAGUCAUUGUUGAGACCAAAUGAUCUGAGAAACCUAACAGAACAGUGGAUGACGUACAGUGGGGUCUGUAUUGAAACACUAAAGCCCUAACAUGCUGUAAUAUUCUCCGGAACAUACCCAACAUUAGGUAAAAAUUUGUAUCUUUAUCUAUAUUUGCAUCUUAUGUUAUAAGGGAAUAUGUGAAUUAUAUAAAGAAAUGCACAAGAAAAAAAGUAACUUGCUCUGAAAGAUCGGUUUUGCAGCUAGUGUUACAGUGAUCUUGUCGUUCUCAUCUGGUCCAUUCAUGGCUACAGUUAUAGGCUCUAGUUAAUUUUUGCAGCUAUGAGCAAAUACACAUGUUUUCUCAGGAUUUGCAACCAAACUGAAUGCAUUCCCAAGUUCCCAAGGGUUUACAAGUCUAAAAUGUUCAGAUAAAUUUCCAGUCGUAAGAAUGCUUAAACAAAAUACUAUAAAGGUCAUUUUACUAAGGAAAAAAAAAACAAAGUAAACACCUUUUGUGUACUGGAGAUUCCUCACAGUGAUGAGAGUUAGCACAUGAAAUAGUUUUAGGAAAGGAAAACAAACACGCACAGUAUAAAGUAUUUAGAGUGACUAGGCAUUUUGUCUAUUGUUUCAAAGACUUGCUCAUCUCCAUAUGGCAACAAACAAACAAACAAAAAACCACCCCACCCAAGACAAUGUAAUUUUGUCGUAAAAUUAUUUUUGGAAAAACAGCUACUUUGAAGUUUCUUCCUGUCUGUUCAUGAGCACAAAUAAACGCCUGGCUGCAUAGGUAGUCUGGGAAUGAUACAAGUACAGUAUGUGCUUAUAGGAUGGACAUGGUAGAAAUGCACUUUAGAAACUGUCUAUGGGCACAAUAUUAAUGUAAUAAAUACCAUUGGCUAGAGUGCUAAGUGCAGUCUGCUUACUGAAACUUUCACAAUCUGUGCUGCUGAGAAUGUGACCUAAAAAAGUUGCCUUUAGACUUUUAUGUAACCUCAUCUUGACCUGGCUGUGUUUCAGCUGAAGUUUUCAACAGUCAGUAACUUACACUCUUUCAUGUGAGCAGCAGGGAAGACUUCAGACUGAGGGACAGCAAGUAAAGAAAUCAAUGGUCUAAAACAGGGAGGAGGAAAAGGAUGAAAUGAGGAAAACACAAGGACAGAAUCACUGUGAAACUUGGUGACGAUGACAAUUAGAAGAGCUUUAACAGAGGAGGCUGGAAGUCUUGGCCUGAGUGACUACUGAAAAGAUACCUGAAAGAUCCUCACCAACAUAAACUGUUAGAAGUGUCUUCCAAAGAGUAGGAAAACAGAUGAAGUAAUAGGUCUUCUGCUCUGGUGUAGCAACAGAUAAAUACCAACAUGGCUGGACCAGCCCUUUCUUUGAUCACAAAGGCCAACUACAGAUCACAUUACCACCAGAUCACCAUGAAGACACCAGAGGAUCCAAAUGAAGCACUGCGUGCCCUGUAGAAGCUGUGUGAGGUGGAUUCAACACUUAAUAUGCAGGGUUCAGAAGAAGUAUCUUUCAGUGGCUGAUAGUAGCACACAACAAGGUGAAGAGAGAGUGAUUGAAGCCAGAAAUUUUCCUUGAACAGCAGAGCAAGACCCAUACAGAAGCUCCUGGCAGACGUGUGAGGUUCUGUUCAUUGCAUGGAUCUCCAAUGGGCUGCUCAGAGAUAGAAUAUCAUCCUGUUGCAGACAGUCCUCCCUAAGGGCCAGAAGUACUUUGAGUUCUGCAGCCUACUUUGCUGGGCUAAGUACCAAGGGUAAUACCAUCACAGCAAUUUCCACUGGAUGAAAUGCCAGUUUGCAGGAAUUCAUCUGAGGUAGAAAAAGACCCCUGAUUCACAGCACACCUACAUGAACUUGGCAAGCCUUUGAAACGGAGAACAGAGCAUGGCCCAAUGAGGCACUGACAACUUAAAAUCCCAGCUCUCCUGCUACAGAAGUCAAACACUACCAGUGGACUGUGCAAGAGAUUAGUAUAGUUUUCAGAUGCGGCCUGUUUUUGACCUCUCAUGAGACAAGACACAAGGGUGGCAGCUAGUUCCAGUAGUGAUUGUCCUUUCUGCAACGUGACCAUCUGAAAUGACAUAGAAACUUGACUGGCCAGUAUCUUGCCUUAGCAGAUGAACACAGGAACACAUCAGUCUUCUACUUCUCAGCCUCUGCCAUAAGAGAUCCACAAACAGGGACUCUCUGGUGCUUAUCUUGUUUGGAGGAGAUGGAGUAUUUCUUCAAGAGGAAGUACAAGAUGUUUCUCUGAUAUCAUUCAAUCCGGGGCCUAGAAGAAAUUAAGAAUGUAUGGGAAAACUGUGAUUACAGAGUUUGUCAGAGAGCUACCUUUUAACAAAGUUGCAAAAUCAGCUAAAAAGUAGUGUCAGGAAGUUAACCAUUUGGGUUGGAAAAGACCCUUAAGAUUAUGAAGUCCUAAAGCUGAAGAAGAGAACAAAUGGCGUAGCUGUGAAGGAACAAAGGGUCCUUCUGCACUGCUGGGUAUAGACAGACCUGAGUUUGUUUGGCCUGUGCUGACCCCAGAACUGGAAGUCAGAAGACCACAGUGACAAGACACCUGUUCCUACAGGACAAGAGCCUCCAUAAACCAGGCCUUUGAGCCAUGUUGGCCCUGAACUGUAUCUAUUUUAAUAACUCUACCUGACAGCAACUCUGUGGCAGAGCUAGGAUUAGAAUAUAAUCAUGCUGGCUCAGUCAUGUGCAUAGAUUAUUUCUAAAACUUCCCUCAACAUCCAGGUUCCCAUAGCCGAUAAAAUAUAUAAUAUAUGCUCUCUUAUCUUCUUAAUUCUCAGCAGCAUUCUCACUGUAACCUGAAAGACAUUCUUAAGCAAACAAAACAAGUUGACCUCUAAAAUGUGCUUUCCGGUAAUAAGAGCUGCCGUUCUAACCCAGGGGCUGGGCAUUCAGUUUUCACAGCUUGCAGCAGACUCUCAAAUGAAAAUAUAAUUUCUUAAUUGCAUUCUGUAACAGCUGGCCCAGGGUAAAUAUAAGGUUACAUUUCAGUGAUCAGAAUUUCAGGAAUAAAAACAAAAUUUGCAUGCAUAAGAAAAGACUAUUUUAAAUGUUGUGUUAUAUUUCCCAGUAUCACGUUCCUGUUCUGGAGAUCCUCUCUGAACUGAUGGCAGCUGUUAUAUACAUGGUCCACUGCAAGCCAGCCCUCCACAGCUCUCCAUCACUAUUAUGCUACGCCGGUAAAACAGUAUAAAGCAAACAAACAAACAGCUUUUUUCCAAAUCUGCUGCUGAUAUUUUCCUGUCAUUUUCUCAAAAUACCUGAUUUUUCAUUGUCAUCUGCCCUCACAUAUCAGUUCUUUUCAUGCUGGAUAAGCAGAACUGUAUUUUUUAGCAUUAAAAGCAUUAGCUAUUUUGGUUAAGAAAACAUUGCUCUAAUUUGUGCAGCUAAUGGAAUAAAAAUGCAUUAACUAA